GCAUAACGCGAAGAACCUUACCUGGCCUUGACAUUGAUAGAAUCUGCUAGAGAUAGCGGAGUGCCCUUCGGGGAGCUUGAAAACAGGUGCUGCACGGCUGUCGUCAGCUCGUGUCGUGAGAUGUUGGGUUAAGUCCCGCAACGAGCGCAACCCUCGUCACUAGUUACUAACGGUUCGGCCGAGGACUCUAGUGGGACUGCCUUCGUAAGGAGGAGGAAGGUGAGGACGACGUCAAGUCAUCAUGGCCCUUACGGCCAGGGCGACACACGUGCUACAAUGGGAUGUACAAUGAGACGCAAUACCGCGAGGUGGAGCAAAUCUAUAAAACAUCUCUCAGUUCGGAUUGUAGUCUGCAACUCGACUACAUGAAGCUGGAAUCACUAGUAAUCGUAGAUCAGCCAUGCUACGGUGAAUACGUUCCCGGGUCUUGUACACACCG
rnacentral:rRNA from 1 species